AGCCUGAUUGUGACAUGAUCUGCCCCGCCUAUGUGUGUCAAGAAAUAAAAGCACACCUCGUUUACUAUCGUUUUCAUGCUUUCUGUAACAUCGCAACCGUCACCAUCAUGUAAACAGGCUACUCUGUAGCCUAUUUCUGAAACAGCUCCGGGGACUCCUGCUUUGCAGAAUACAAAGGCAACAAUAUUCAAGACUCGAUCAGCUCAACAACGAUUUAAAAAAACAAAAAACAAAAAAUGGGAGGCUAUUUUGUGCUCACUCUUUUUGUCUUUCUCGUUGAUGGUGUGGUUGGUGACACAUCUGGAAUGAACUUGGUAUCAGUGAUGGAGGGAAAUUCAGUCACUCUAAACACUGGUGUCACCAAACAGCAACGUGACAAGAUGCUGUGGUAUUUUAAUGACACUCUCAUAGCUCUGAUCAAUGGAGAGGCCAGUAAGAGCUGUUUAUAUGAUGGUGAAGGUGGGAGAUUCAGAGACAGACUGGAGGUGGACUAUGAGACCGGAUCUCUGACCAUCACAAACAUCAGCCCUGAACAUGCUGGACGUUAUGAAGCAAAUUUCAUCCAAAGCAAGAGCUCAGGAACCAGCCACAGUUUGAACAGAAACAGCAAGUGUGACAGCACAAAGAUCAGAAAAAUGAGCAACAUUGGCAACACCAUUAAAACAUUCAUUCUCUCCGUCAGUGCUUCUCUGUCUGUUCCUGACAAAACCGAUGACGAAUUGUACAAGAUAGGGAAGGAGCAAGAGCGUGACAGGAGUCUGCCUUCAAAUCUUAUAGUCGGAAUAGCUGUUGCUGUUGUUCUGUUGGUGUGUGUAGCUUUAGUAACAGCUGGUGUGAUUUACUAUUGCCGCAGGAGCUCUAAACAUGCAGAAGCUGAGAAAAACAAACUUGAGCAUCUGUUGAAAGUCUAAAUAUAAGAAGGAGAAAGACGGAUGUGAUGUGAGGGAUUUGAGGAUCCCAAUAUAUAUAUUAGGGGUAGGGUUUACUAUGUGACCAUAGGUGACCAUAAGUCUAAUUGGACAUCCAUGACAUGCGGAGUCCCUCAAAACUCAGUUCUUGCGCCGCUCCUGAUCAUCCCGUUUAUGCUUCCACUGAGCCAAAUAAUAAUACCUCACAAAAUGCUGGGUUGUUUCAACUCAUGUUUUGGUCAAAUAUGGACAAACCCAAUCAUUGGUUUAAAAAGUUAUUUAAAUAAUAACAAUAAUGAUGAUAUGUUAUAUUCAUAUAGCACUUUCCCAAGCUCAAAUCGCUUUAUAAUCAAUAAACAUGAAUACAUCAACAACAGGACAAAUAUAAGAAACAAUACAGUAUACACAUCAAACAUCACAGACGAUCACAAAAUUUGAAUGAAAUGCAUAGUUUGGAGUGUAAUAUAUACAAAUAUCUGACCAACUAUCCAAACAGAAUGAGCAGUAGAGUAAAAAUGAAGUAAAAAUAAAGUAAAAAUUAAGUAACCAGAGUAGUCCCUCAUGGAGUGCAUUAAGCAACCUGCGCCGAACUGCAUCUCGAAUCCCACAGAGCCCAAUCAAAUGCAAAUGGCAGGACCCAAACAGCAAAUGGGAACACUCGAUGAUGACGGCCGCCACGCCAUGAAAUCCUCCCAUCAAAGAUGCAGAUACUUUGUCCGCAACAACCACGCUACAAACACCUGAAUAUAGAUUCAGGUAGGCCGGAUGAGCACACCACCUCCAUGCAUUAGCGGGAAAACAUAAUCACAGUUGAAGUCUGUUUUAUGAGCGUGAGAAACAUUUUACACAACAAGACAAAUAGCCCAGAAGUUGCAUGACAAAAAAAAAAAAAACAUUUUAAGUGUAAAAAAACAGUCGUGUUUGUCCAUAUUUGAACUGAACAUGGGUUGAAACAACCCAGCAUUUUUUAGAGUGAAUGUAGAUGAUACCCAGAUCUACUUAGCCCUAUCGAAAGUACAGCCCCAUUGACUCUCUGUGCCAGUGCAUUGAUGAAGUUAACAGUUGGAUGACCCAAAACAUCUUUCAGUUAAACAAGACAAAACUGAAGUCGCUGCAUUUGGAAACAAAGAUGAAGUUCUCAAAAUCUUGGUGUGAUUUUGGAGUCAGACCUGAGUUUCAGUAGUUAAAGUAAUCUUUUACAUUACAUAUUUUAGGUAAUAUAAUCUCAGUACUUUUUGAAUACUUACCUAUCUUGUUUAUAACAUUGAUUUGAAUAGUAUAAUGUACCAUACUGAAAAAAAUUAGAAGAGAAAGAAAAUUUGUUUAAUCAUAAAAAAUUAAAUUAUAAUUAAUAAAUAAUUUGAAAAUAAAAACAAUCAAAAUAAAACACUAACUAAAAAUAAAUAUUCUGUGUUUAUGCUGUACAAUUGCUCUAUUUUCCAUGUAAUUAGUCGCCUGACUAGUGCCCGGUCUGAGUGUGCAAUUUCAAAAACCUUUUGAGAACAGAAAAUUUAAAAGAUAAAAAAAGAAAUAAUCAUGUAAUAAAAAAAUAACUGUAUUCUGAUUAUAAGUAUCUAAAAAUUAAUAUACUGUAUUAUAUGUAAGUAUGUGUAAGUAUAUAACAUAAGUACUUAAUUUUUGGAAUCUGAUUACACUGUAAAAAAAAAAAAGUUUUUUUUUUUGUUUUUUGUUUUUUUUUGUAAAAAGUGUCCUUCACCUGAUUGUGUGAAGGACACUGUGCACCUUCUAAUUCAGCUUGUGGAAAAGUUACUUGUGAUGAACUCAUGAUUCUUCAUGUGACUUCCUCUUUUACCACCUGCAUUAUUAUAGUGUUUGUCAGUAUACAGUAUGUUAAAGAUACAAAAUAGAUUUUAGCAGCAGUGUGCGUUGUUGGAAUUACUGGAUUAAAUUGCAGUUUUCUUGUUUGUAAAUUACAGAUUUAUACUGUAAAAUUGACAGAUUGGUCUGUAAAUAUGUUUACAUUUUUACUAUUUGUUUACAGAGUUAUUCUGGCAAUUGCAGCUGCCAGGAUUACUAUUACUAUUAUUAUUAUUUGUAAAACAACUGGAUUUCUUUUUUAAGGUGUAGGAUAUCUAGAUUACAUAUAAUCAUUUACUACCCAGAAGGGUGGACUGUUUGGUGCGUAGCCCACCUCCCAUAGUCAAUAUUGUAAUGGACUCCUCACCGGCCUUCCCAAAAAGACCAUGAGACAGCUGCAGCUCAUACAGAACACUGCUGCCAGAGAAAGAGUAAAACAGCAGCCUAUUUUAAUGUACUUUUACUUGUUUAUAAAUCACUCAAUGGCCUAUUGGACCUCACUGCAGAUAUGCUCACUGAAUAUAAACCUAACAGACCACUCAGAUCAAUAGGAUCACAUCAAUUAGAAAUACCAAGGGUUCGCUCUAAACAAGGAGAGUCUGUUUUAGCUGUUACACCAGCCGCAGCUGGAAGCAGCUUCCUGAAGAGAUCAGAUGUGCUCCAACAGUAUUACAUUCAAAUCCAGACUCAAAACACACUCUGCCACUGUAUGUCCGACUUAUUGCACUUUAUCUAUGUACUAUAUGUAUCCUUCUUGAUUUAUUUUUAACUGUAACUUGGUAAAUAGAUUUUUAAUCAUUUUUAUUCUUUGAUUUUUAUGUGGUGGUUAUUAUUUUUUAAACCAUCUUUGUAGAAAGCACUUUGAAUUAUUAUUGUAAAUAUGUGUUGUAUAAAUAAACUUUAGAUAAUGUGGCCACAGGGCCAAGUGUAACUUUACAGGUAAGGUUUUUGUUUGUUUGUUUGUUUGUUAACAGAAUUUUCCCUUUUUGUCAUUAUACAAUGAAAUACCAGUAGUUUUAAAUUUACAGGUAAUUGCUUAUAUUUUGGUAUUACAUUUUUUUUUUUUUUUUUAACAUUUUAAAGGGUCUUUAUUUGAAUUCAUCUGCUUUAUCUGUGGUAAAUGUCCACAUAUAUUUAAUCACAGAAAGAAUAUCUUUACAGUUGUUGUUCAUAGUUUGUCCACAGUGAUGCGCUAUAUAACAAGUGGUGAAGUCAUCACUAGCUUUAUAUAUCCUUCCUAAAAUAUAUAUAUAUAUAUAUAUAUAUAUAUAUGAAUUUGAAUUUUUAUGAAUAAAGACUCAUUUAUGUUAGAAAAAAUAUUAAACCUAAUUAAAAACACAGCAUUCUGUUUAAUUAAAAAUUAAAUAAUUUGUAAUGUAAUUGUGCUAAUCUGAAAACAAAUUGGUAAAAUAUUAUAUGUAUUAUGUCAUUUCUUUCCACAGUGUGGUUUAAUUUUCCACAUAAAAUCAAAAACAUUUGCAUUUUUUUAUAAACUUGACAUUUACAUCCACACAUUAAACCUCUUAUUUCUUUGAUAUCCGUAUUUGAAAACCUUUUCAUAUAUUUAACUCUUUAUAGAUCAAAAUGCUGAGAUAUAUCACAAUAUUUAAGAUUUUAAGAUGUUUCUCGUCUCCUCAUCUUGUGGAUCUGAUGUCAUAAACCAGAACAGCCACAGUAGCCACGCCCACCAGAGCAGAGACAACCAAUCGGAUCACAGCUUCAGUAGAAAAAAAAUCUACACUGUAGAAAAAAGGUAGUUUCUUUAACUUAACAUUUUGAGUUAUCUUUUUGCACUGACUCAGUUAAAUUGUAUUUACUUAGAAUUUUAAGUACUUUCAACUUGACAAAAGUAGUUAUUUGAACUUAUAAUUUAGUUGGAAUAACUUUAUGAAAGUAUAUUUAACUAAAGUUUUUAAUACCACAGCUCAUAAUUUGACAUUUUCUUAGUUAAACCAUGUUUGUUGUGGUAAAGAAAGCCAGAAAUGAGAUAAGGUGGUGUUUACUGCUUAUUAAUGAUAUAAACAUCAUGUGGUUUGUUCCAUUUAUUAUAUCUGAACUCUCAUCACUGAUGAUCGGGUUUAGCGUUAUUAAUGCUCCUAAACUUUCUGCUGAUCAUGUGAUACUGCAGCAUUUGCUCCAGCAGUAUCAUGACAAUCUGAUCAUGUGAAGAAGAAAAAACACAUGCUGAACAGUAAGUUUUGAUUUACAGCAUCUUUCAGACACACACUGACAUCAAGAAUCAGCGUAUGAACCUCAACACUGGUGACAAUCAACAGAAAGCUUCAUGCUGCAGUGCAUUCUGGGUGCAGCAAUCAAAACUCAUCCAUGGUUCCCAGCAUGCAUUGCGGCAAAUAAAAAAAUGAUUUAUGUAUUUAUUUAUGCAGGAAUAUGUGUAUUUAUACAUUUAUUUGCACAUGUCUUUAUAUAUUUAUUUAUAAUUUUGUGGAUUUAUUUAUAUAUUUAUUGUUUUUGCAGGUUUCGUCCUCCAUAAUCUGGCUGAGACCUAAUGAACGCAAAUUUAAAUGGCCCCAAUACACCAGAUUCGGGUAAUGAACAUUUUACAAUCCAAUUCACAGAGCAUUGAUCUGACGUCAUUGACCAGAAGAACAGCAGCAGCCGCAGCAGCCACGCCCAUCAGAGCAGUGACGACCAAUCGGAGCACAGCUUCAACAGAAUCACAACAAUGGGCGUGGCCUUCUGAAAAAAAAAAAAAGAUAAAAUAGAAUUGAGAUUUUCAACAAGCUGACUUUAUUCUGUCAUGAACUCAAAAAAGAUAAUCUUUUAUGCUUCACAGAAGAAGAAAAAGAAGACGCAAAAACUGCUAAGAAAGACAUGAGUAAAUGAUGACAGAAGCUCAGUCAUCAUUUCAGGCAUCU